rnacentral:rRNA from 1 species
GACGAACGCUGGCGGCGUGCUUAACACAUGCAAGUCGAGCGGUAAGGCCCUUUCGGGGGUACACGAGCGGCGAACGGGUGAGUAACACGUGGGUGACCUGCCCUUAGCUCUGGGAUAAGCCUGGGAAACUGGGUCUAAUACCGGAUAUGACUCCAUGACGCAUGUUGUGGGGUGGAAAGCCUUGUGCGGCUAGGGAUGGGCCCGCGGCCUAUCAGCUUGUUGGUGGGGUGAUGGCCUACCAAGGCGACGACGGGUAGCCGGCCUGAGAGGGCGACCGGCCACACUGGGACUGAGACACGGCCCAGACUCCUACGGGAGGCAGCAGUGGGGAAUCUUGCGCAAUGGGCGAAAGCCUGACGCAGCGACGCCGCGUGAGGGAUGACGGCCUCGGUUGUAACC